AUGGCACCGUAACUUCGGGAGAAGGUGCGCCGGCUAGGGUGAAGGAUUUACUCCGUAAGCUCUGGCUGGUCGAAGAUACCAGGCCGCUGCGACUGUUUAUUAAAAACACAGCACUCUGCAAACACGAAAGUGGACGUAUAGGGUGUGACGCCUGCCCGGUGCCGGAAGGUUAAUUGAUGGGGUUAGCGCAAGCGAAGCUCUUGAUCGAAGCCCCGGUAAACGGCGGCCGUAACUAUAACGGUCCUAAGGUAGCGAAAUUCCUUGUCGGGUAAGUUCCGACCUGCACGAAUGGCGUAACGAUGGCGGCGCUGUCUCCACCCGAGACUCAGUGAAAUUGAAAUCGCUGUGAAGAUGCAGUGUAUCCGCGGCUAGACGGAAAGACCCCGUGAACCUUUACUGUAGCUUUGCACUGGACUUUGAGCCUGCUUGUGUAGGAUAGGUGGGAGGCUUUGAAGCGUGGACGCCAGUUCGCGUGGAGCCAUCCUUGAAAUACCACCCUGGCAUGCUUGAGGUUCUAACUCUGGUCCGUGAUCCGGAUCGAGGACAGUGUAUGGUGGGCAGUUUGACUGGGGCGGUCUCCUCCUAAAGAGUAACGGAGGAGUACGAAGGUGCGCUCAGACCGGUCGGAAAUCGGUCGUAGAGUAUAAAGGCAAAAGCGCGCUUGACUGCGAGACAGACACGUCGAGCAGGUACGAAAGUAGGUCUUAGUGAUCCGGUGGUUCUGUAUGGAAGGGCCAUCGCUCAACGGAUAAAAGGUACUCCGGGGAUAACAGGCUGAUACCGCCCAAGAGUUCAUAUCGACGGCGGUGUUUGGCACCUCGAUGUCGGCUCAUCACAUCCUGGGGCUGAAGCCGGUCCCAAGGGUAUGGCUGUUCGCCAUUUAAAGUGGUACGCGAGCUGGGUUUAGAACGUCGUGAGACAGUUCGGUCCCUAUCUGCCGUGGACGUUUGAGAUUUGAGAGGGGCUGCUCCUAGUACGAGAGGACCGGAGUGGACGAACCUCUGGUGUUCCGGUUGUCACGCCAGUGGCAUUGCCGGGUAGCUAUGUUCGGAAAAGAUAACCGCUGAAAGCAUCUAAGCGGGAAACUUGCCUCAAGAUGAGAUCUCACUGGGAACUUGAUUCCCCUGAAGGGCCGUCGAAGACUACGACGUUGAUAGGCUGGGUGUGUAAGCGUUGUGAGGCGUUGAGCUAACCAGUACUAAUUGCCCGUGAGGCUUGACCAU
rnacentral:rRNA from 1 species